GCUGCCUUUAUUUUGGGCAUGGAAGAAGCAGUCAUUUGGGCUUUAUGAUGGCUCUUGCAAGCUAAACCCUGCCACAGUCUGCAUUAGGGUGAGGUUAGACUGUAAGGAGCUCGCUUGAAAAAUGAAGUCUCGCUUGAGGUUGAUUUGCCAAUGCACUUCCUCCUGGGCUCGGCUGUAAGCAACCCCAUAAAACACUGCCUGCUGCACGGCCUGCGAAGUGGGGGCUCAUGGACUGAGGGACCAGAGGGGACACAGCAGUGAAAGCCGAAACACUGUCCUGGAGGGUGCGCGGUGGAUGGCCGAUGGAACUCCUACUCCUGAGCAGACUUCGGAACAAUACGCUCUGCUGCGGGGGAAUGUGAAUUACUCUGAGGGCGGGCUAGUUGUGAUUACAAGCGAGCAGCAUUAUCCAAUGGUUAGAGCAGGGGCCUAGAGAUGAAAUCCUGUCCCCAUUUAAAUCAAUAAUAAAAACUCCCAUUGAUUUUGGCAGGGCCAGGAUUCCACCACUGGGUUCUCUACCUGACUCAGCCCCUGACUCAACAUGUGGCCUGGGGAAAGUCACUUCCCCAUUCGGUGCCUCACUCCUACCUUCUGCAAAAUGGGGUCAAUACCGACUAUUAGCAGGAGCGUCACAUGGACAGCACCGGGUGGAAAGGGAAUCGGUGGCCAUUUAGGAUUUCACAGCUGUCUCGAUCCUGCUCAUUCAUUCAUGGAGUGCAGCUGAGUCAUACCCCAGAGCCUCCAGCUCCAAGAGACUCCACAGGCGCUAAAUAGGCAUUUAUCUGUGAGCAGUGCGGGGUCUCUGACACACAUCCUUGCAGUUCUGAUUCCAUCCAGCAAAGGGCAGUGAUGUGCAUUAACCGAUUCAUACCAAUACUUCAGUGCAAAGCAUCAUUAUUUGCAUGGGGACUAGGAGACUUUGUUCAUUUUGAAAGGCUCACCUAGCAUUCCUGAAGCACUGUGCUUCACCUCUGUGUAAAGAGAUCCAUUGCAGUAUACAAAAGGAAAAGCAAAUUCACCACCUCCCAGUCCCAUCAGUUAAGAAACAGCUUGUCAAACACAUGAUAAUGUAGAGCAAUCAUUUCAUGGACAAACAUCAGUGCACACACUGGGAACCCCCUGCAGCAGGGGCAGAGGGAAGUUGCCUUGAUUAGGAGGAACAGCCAGGCCAUGAGCACAAUGCAAUGAAAGCAGGCAUACUCUGUGGUUCCUGUUACAACUCAUAGUUCAAGGGCAAUGCAUUUCAGAAGUAUGUAUCUGGGAUGCAGCAAGCAGGCGGUAGGUGAAGUGCAGCAUAUUACCAUAACAUCAGGCAUCACACCACGGAAAUGUCUGUAUCCACAUACAAGGCAUGGUUCUGCUCUGAUCACCCUGUGUUGUAAGAGACUGUCUCAUUGAGCUCCAUACGUAUCCCCAAUUCUAAGGCACUGACUCAGUGUUGCCCAAACAUCCCCCGCAGUUGGGCUCAGAACACAGAUAUUCAGGCUAUCAAAUGAAAUAUAAAGAAAAAGUACAUAGCGAGACAGUGAACACAGCAGGGCUCUGGGAGACGGGACUUUUAUGUUCAAUCCUUGAGGAAAUGCAAGGAAGAUGCCACAUUGUGGUGGGUUUUGUGACGUAGAGAUUGCGCUCCUUGAAUUGAAGACGCUAAGGGCUUGGUACAUGUGAAAGACAAUCAGGAAUAAGGUAAAAUAUGAAUUUAAAGCGGAUUAACUAUUUCUGAUUAACGCCAUGUGUGGACACACUUUUUCCGAGUUAUCCUAAUCCACGUCCAAAGCGGAUUAAGAUAAUUCAGAAUAGAAAGUGGAUUAAGAUAAUCUGGAAUAAGAGCAUCCACAUAUGGAGUUAAUCACUCAAUCAGGAAUAGCAAUUGUAGAAUAACAAUUGCCUGUAAACCUCACAGGCCACCAUAUAAGGCUCACAGGUGGGCCCAUCUGAACUGGAUGUGGGGAUGUAACUGAUAAUGUUGAGGUGAAAGCUCCAUAGCUUAUUACUCAUCAGCAACCCGCUCAGCCGCCACUUCCCCUCUAAGGGAUCUUUAUUGUUCACCAAAAUAACGAAGCCAGAUAAACAUAGGCUACUGCAGUGUGUUUAUUCUUAAGACUACUUUUCCUGUCAUUUAAAUGCACUCUGCAUGUACACGGAAGGUUAAAUUAAAAAAUAAACGUAUUUCUAUACAGGGCAAGCACUUUACUAUGGACAAGCCAUAUAAACCCCAGGUUCCUGUAGCCAGAGAGACAAGUCAAGUAUUCCCCAGUCUCAAAUAUUCCAUUGUGAAAAACACUAAUACAUGACAACAUGAGACAGUUCUGGAAAGUACAGUCACCACGGCAGAGCAGCAACCACAUUAGCUUCGCCUCCAUUUCUGAGCCUGAAGUUCAUUAACCCUGGAGUCUUGGCCAAACUCCAGCUUUGCAUUCAGGCUACGUAAAUUCCCCCUUGGGUUGCAAAUGGAUAUGAUAACGUCCUA